AAACCAACAGGGAUUGCCUCAGUAACGGCGAGUGAAGCGGCAAAAGCUCAAAUUUGAAAGCUUCGGCAUUGUAAUUUGAAGAAAUAAAACCCACGGCGAGGCGAAACAAGUCCAUUGGAAAAUGGCGCCACAGAGGGUGACAGCCCCGUAGUUUCUCCCCUCACCCAACCGUUUUAUUUCCAAGAGUCGAGUUGUUUGGGAUUGCAGCUCUAACGGUGGUAAAUUCCAUCUAAAGCUAAAUACUGGCGAGAGACCGAUAGCGAACAAGUACAGUGAUGGAAAGAUGAAAAGCACUUUGAAAAGAGAGUGAAAAAGUACGUGAAAUUGUUGAAAGGGAAGGGCUUGACCGGCUGGGGAGGUCGGGGAAAAAGAGGCCAAAACAAGCAAGGAAUGUAACUCUCGAGUAUUAUAUCCUCGCCCACACCCUCACUUUUCCCCGUGGACCGCUAACAGGAUCUCCCCCCAAUCCGGCCAAGUCGC
rnacentral:rRNA from 1 species